CUCUCUCUCUCUCUCUCUCUCUCUCUCUCUCUCUGUCGCUCUCCCUCGUUAGGGUUUAGGCGUUCUCGCGUACAAGCUCUUCGCGACGCGUCGCACCACCCUCCUCCAACCCGGUCUCCGACGGAUCUCUCGCGAAAGCGAGAGAGGAGAAGAAUCACGCGCUGCAGAGCAGCACGUGUGCUGCACUCGCGCGGAUCGGCAAGCGCGGUGUGGUUAUAUAGUCAUCGGCUCUCUUACCAUCGUCGAGAGUCCGCCGCGCGGGAUAGCCGACGCGAAAGUUGGUUUGCCCCUCGACCGGGAUUGACCGGGGUGAACGAUCGUCAUUGACGCUUAUUAGACUCCGCUUUUACAGCGCGCGAUUAGCUGCGGGAGUGAGGGGGUGUCCUCGCGAGCGAGCGAUCGCCGGCCGAUUCCGACCACUCCGAUCGGAACGAUACGAUCGACCCGCGCGAAUCAAGUUGGAGUGUUGGAUCCCGCGCGAGUGACGGAGUCACGACUCGCGACUCACCCCCCGGGGACUGUGAUUUCGUAUAUGCGAGGUGCGACGUAAGCAGGAACCCGCUAAGGAUUCGCAGUGGUGUCUUGGCCAAACGUGAGAACGUCGGAGGGAGGACGGGCACCGUCGGCCGUCGGCAGCUCUUGUGAACGGAAGUGUUCAAAGGCCCGAAGAUUCUGCCUUCGCAGCAGCUGGGCGCUGCGGUCGCUCCAUGGCCGGGCGCAACCGGCCUCAUAGCUUCGGUCACUGCUGACGACAUGGCACACAAAGGGCACAGCGGGGUGAACCAGCUGGGAGGUGUCUUCGUCGGCGGUCGGCCGCUUCCGGACUCGACGCGGCAAAAGAUCGUCGAGCUCGCGCAUUCGGGCGCACGGCCAUGCGACAUCUCCAGAAUAUUGCAGGUCAGCAACGGCUGUGUCUCCAAGAUCCUGGGCAGUAGGUACUAUGAGACCGGAUCUAUAAGGCCCAGAGCCAUCGGCGGCAGUAAAUCGCGCGUGGCAACGGCGGAGGUAGUCAGUAAGAUCUCGCUCUACAAAAGUGAGUGCCCGUCCAUCUUCGCGUGGGAGAUCCGAGAUCGCUUGUUGCAGGAGGGCGUAUGCACGAACGACAACAUCCCAAGUGUGUCUUCGAUCAACAGGGUACUGAGGAAUCUAGCUGCGCAAAAGGAGCAGAGGCAGCAACAGCAACAGCAGCAACAAGGGGUGGGCGCUGUGGGGGUUGGCGUCGGUGCUGGCAGCCCGGCAGAGAGCGUUUACGAUAAACUCAGGCUACUAAACGGACAGACCACCGGCUGGCCACGACCCAAUCCCUGGUAUCCAUCAAGCGCAGGAAGUCCGUUUUCGUCGAUACAAUCUAGUUUGAGUCCGAGCCAUUGUUCGUCCCUCCCACCGGAUCCGGCGGACAUAUUGCACGCGAAGAAAGUAACCGAGCUCGAGGGUGGCGCGCACUCGGACGAGACAAACAGCGGGGGUGACAACAGCAAUGCCGGCAGCGUGUCGGGUGGUGCCGACGACGAUCAGGCGCGUCUCCGUCUAAAGAGGAAGCUGCAGAGGAAUCGUACGAGCUUCAGUAACGAGCAGAUCGACGCGCUCGAAAAGGAGUUCGAAAGGACGCAUUACCCGGACGUGUUCGCCAGAGAAAGACUCGCCAGCAAGAUCGGCCUACCGGAGGCGCGAAUACAGGUCUGGUUUUCGAAUCGGCGGGCCAAGUGGCGGCGUGAGGAGAAAUUGCGCACGCAACGGAGGGAUAAUCCGCCACCGCCGCAGCAGCAACAGCAACAACAACAGCAACACACUGCCAGCGUGAACUUGGUGGGUGCUGGCCACCCGACGCCGCCGCCACCCUCGGGGAUACUUGGGGGCCAGCCACCUCCGCAGGCACCACCUUCGCCCCCCAGAAUACAUCACGGUUUCGCGCCCACUGUGUACCCCGGGAUACCCAGCAUGCCCGAUUCGUAUAGCCCGAUGACGUCGAUGCCGAGCUUCACGAUGUCGGGCGCGAGCCAGCAGAAUCAGCACACUACGAGUAGCAUGUCCUCGUUGUCCACCGGGGGUGGCAUGAGCCCGAUGGGCAUGACCGUGGGCAUGACCGUGGGACCGAGCCCCGGCGCGUGCCUCCAGCAACGGGACAACGGCUACUCGUGCGGGGUCGCGAGACCGCCGAGCUACGAGCCCCUUCACCUUGGCUACGGCGCCAGGCCCACCUGCAGCCCCACGCAGCCCUACCACGCGGCGAGCCUCAAUCAGUACAAUCAGAACGCCAGCUCGACCGGUGAGUGUCUACCGCACUCACUGCAUUCGCUGCUUGCACUCUAGCCGAUGGACUACUACUACGGCUACCAUGGAUAACACGCUAUCGAGCCCGCCGGUCUAAUAUCACCUGGCGUGAGUGUGCCGAUCGCGGUACCAGGUCAACCGGCACCCGACAU
rnacentral:misc_RNA from 1 species